rnacentral:rRNA from 1 species
AUGAACGCUGGCGGCGUGCCUAAUCCCUGCAAGUCGAGCGCACAGAUGAGGAGCUUGCUCCUCUGACGUUAGCGGCGGACGGGUGAGUAACACGUGGAUAACCUACCUAUAAGACUGGGAUAACUUCGGGAAACCGGAGCUAAUACCGGAUAAUAUAUUGAACCGCAUGGUUCAAUAGUGAAAGACGGUUUUGCUGUCACUUAUAGAUGGAUCCGCGCCGCAUUAGCUAGUUGGUAAGGUAACGGCUUACCAAGGCGACGAUGCGUAGCCGACCUGAGAGGGUGAUCGGCCACACUGGAACUGAGACACGGUCCAGACUCCUACGGGAGGCAGCAGUAGGGAAUCUUCCGCAAUGGGCGAAAGCCUGACGGAGCAACGCCGCGUGAGUGAUGAAGGUCUUCGGAUCGUAAAACUCUGUUAUUAGGGAAGAACAAAUGUGUAAGUAACUAUGCACGUCUUGACGGUACCUAAUCAGAAAGCCACGGCUAACUACGUG